rnacentral:rRNA from 1 species
AGCUGCGGUAAUUCCAGCUCUCAAAAUGCAUAGAAUUAUUGCUGCGGUUAAAAAGCUCGUAGUUGGAUCUGUGCCAGCAUGCCGGUCCAUCUUCGGAUGCGUACUGGUUCAUUGCCGGCUUUCCUGCAGUUUUGUCCGGCUCUGUGCCCUUCACUGGGCGCGGUUGUUCGGUGCUGCAAGUUUACUUUGAACAAAUCAGAGUGCUCUAAACAGGCGUUUCGCUUGAAUGUUCGUGCAUGGAAUAAUAAAAGAGGAUUUCGGUUCUAUUUUAUUGGUUUUAUAGACUGAGAUAAUGGUUAACAGAGACAAACGGGGGCAUUCGUAUUGCUACGUGAGAGGUGAAAUUCUUGGACCGUAGCAAGACGAACUACAGCGAAAGCAUUUGCCAAGAAUGUCUUCAUUAAUCAAGAACGAAAGUCAGAGGUUCGAAGGCGAUCAGAUACCGCCCUAGUUCUGACCGUAAA